AAGCGUGCUCCGGGGUCGGUGAAAUUCCGAACCGGCGGUGACGCCCCUGCCCGGGGCGGCAGUCCGCGACCCGGCCGAAGCCAUCGGCCGGUGGACCUGGUGUGAUUCCAGGACCGACGGUGAAAGUCCGGAUGGGAGGAAGCGCGCGA
rnacentral:ncRNA from 2 species